ACACCGCCGCGUUGUGAUGAAGGUUUCGGCUCGUAAACACUGUUGUAAGAGAGAAGACAUUGAGAGUAACUGUUCAAUGUGUGACGGUAUCUUACCAGAAAGGAACGGCUAAAAACGUGCCAGCAGCCGCGGUAAUCA
rnacentral:rRNA from 1 species